GAUGAACGCUAGCGGCAGGUUUAACACAUGCAAGUCGAGGGGUAUAGUUCUUCGGAGCUAGAGACCGGCGCACGGGUGCGUAACGCGUAUGCAAUCUACCUUUUGCAGAGGGAUAGCCCAGAGAAAUUUGGAUUAAUACCUCAUGGUAUGUGAGAAUGGCAUCAUUUUCACAUUAAAGUCACAACGGCAAAAGAUGAGCAUGCGUCCCAUUAGCUAGUUGGUAAGGUAACGGCUUACUAAGGCAACGAUGGGUAGGGGUCCUGAGAGGGAGAGCCCCCACACUGGUACUGAGACAAGCCCAUUACUCCUACGGGAGGCAGCAGUGAGGAAUAUUGGACUAUGGGCGCAAGCCUGAUCCAGCCAUGCCUCGUGCAGGAUGACGGUCCUAUGGAUUGUAAACUGCUUUUGUACAGGAAGAAACACUGGUUCGUGAACCAGCUUGACGGUACUGUAAGAAUAAGGAUCUGCUAACUCCGUGCCAGCCUCCGCGGUAACAC
rnacentral:rRNA from 1 species